UACAGAGGGUGCAAGCGUUGUUCGGAAUUAUUGGGCGUAAAGAGCGCGCAGGCGGUCGAUCAAGUCGAGUGUGAAAGCCCCCGGCUCAACUGGGGAGGGUCAUUCGAUACUGAUCGACUCGAAGGCAGGAGAGGGUAGUGGAAUUCCCGGUGUAGUGGUGAAAUGCGUAGAUAUCGGGAGGAACACCAGUGGCGAAGGCGACUACCUGGCCUGUUCUUGACGCUGAGGCGCGAAAGCUAGGGGAGCAAACGGG
rnacentral:rRNA from 1 species